GACGAACGCUGGCGGCGUGCUUAACACAUGCAAGUCGAACGGAAAGUCCCUGCUUUUUUGGGCUGCUCGAGUGGCGAACUGGUGAGUAACACGUGAGUAACCUGCCCUUGACUUUGGGAUAACUUCAGGAAACUGGGGCUAAUACCGGAUAGGAGCUCCUGCUUCAUGGUGGGGGUUGGAAAGUUUCGGCGGUUGGGGAUGGACUCGCGGCUUAUCAGCUUGUUGGUGGGGUAGUGGCUUACCAAGGCUUUGACGGGUAGCCGGCCUGAGAGGGUGACCGGCCACAUUGGGACUGAGAUACGGCCCAGACUCCUACGGGAGGCAGCAGUGGGGAAUAUUGCACAAUGGGCGGAAGCCUGAUGCAGCAACGCCGCGUGCGGGAUGAAGGCCUUCGGGUUGUAAACCGCUUUCGCCUGUGACGAAGCGUGAGUGACGGUAAUGGGUAAAGAAGCACCGGCUAACUACGUG
rnacentral:rRNA from 1 species